rnacentral:rRNA from 1 species
AGAACGACUCUCGGCAACGGAUAUCUCGGCUCUCGCAUCGAUGAAGAACGUAGCGAAAUGCGAUACUUGGUGUGAAUUGCAGAAUCCCAUGAACCAUCGAGUCUUUGAACGCAAGUUGCGCCCGAAGCCUUCUGGCCGAGGGCACGUCUGUCUGGGCGUCACGC